rnacentral:rRNA from 1 species
AUUGAACGCUGGCGGCAGGCCUAACACAUGCAAGUCGAGCGGAUGAAGGGAGCUUGCUCCUGGAUUCAGCGGCGGACGGGUGAGUAAUGCCUAGGAAUCUGCCUGGUAGUGGGGGAUAACGUCCGGAAACGGGCGCUAAUACCGCAUACGUCCUGAGGGAGAAAGUGGGGGAUCUUCGGACCUCACGCUAUCAGAUGAGCCUAGGUCGGAUUAGCUAGUUGGUGGGGUAAGGCCUACCAAGGCGACGAUCCGUAACUGGUCUGAGAGGAUGAUCAGUCACACUGGAACUGAGACACGGUCCAGACUCCUACGGGAGGCAGCAGUGGGGAAUAUUGGACAAUGGGCGAAAGCCUGAUCCAGCCAUGCCGCGUGUGUGAAGAAGGUCUUCGGAUUGUAAGGCACUUUAAGUUGGGAGGAAGGGCAGUAAGUUAAUACCUUGCUGUUUUGACGUUACCAACAGAAUAAGCACCGGCUAACUUCGUG